CGGAUCCGAGGCAGGGAAAGCACUCGGGAUGGAAGGAGCAGGUGUGCGGGCCGUGAGCGGCGCCAGAGGGUACCUGGCUCUGUGGAGGGGCCCUCUGGUAUGUGUGUCCCUGUCCUUCUGGGGCGUGGAUGGUGCCCGGGACCCAGCUGGCAACCAGUUGAAGACGUUCUCCUUGGAAGCUCUUGGCCCUGAGGACUUUGCCUGGGGCACUGGCCCUGCCAUGGCAUUCCGGAGGGCCGAGGGCACGUCUAUGAUCCAGGCCCUGGCCAUGACGGUGGCCGAGAUCCCCGUGUUCCUGUACACGACGUUUGGGCAGUCUGCAUUCUCCCAGCUACGGUUGACGCCAGGCCUGCGGAAAGUCCUCUUUGCCACGGCCCUGGGGACUGUGGCCCUGGCCCUGGCUGCCCACCAGCUGAAGAGGCGACGGAGGAGGAAGAAGCAGGUUGGUCCCAAGAUGGGAGGGGAGCAGCUGGGCACGGUGCCCCUCCCUAUUCUCUUGGCCAGGAAGGUCCCUUCAGUGAAGAAAGGAUACUCCGGCCGGAGAGUCCAGAGCCCCAGCAGCAAGAGCAAUGACACCCUGAGUGGCAUCUCUUCCAUUGAGCCCAGCAAGCACUCGGGCUCCUCCCACAGUGUGGCCUCGAUGAUGGCAGUGAACUCAUCCAGCCCCACGGCCGCGUGCUCGGGACCGUGGGAUGCCAGAGGGAUGGAGGAGUCUCUGACCACCAGCGACGGCAAUGCAGAGAGCCUGUACAUGCAAGGCAUGGAGCUGUUCGAGGAAGCUCUGCAGAAGUGGGAGCAGGCACUGAGUGUGGGCCAGCGGGGGGACAGCGGCAGCACCCCCACGCCCAGGGACGGCGUCCGGAACCCGGAGACUGCAUCAGAGCCACUGUCUGAGCCAGAGUCACAGCGGAAGGAGUUUGCAGAGAAGCUGGAGUCCCUGCUGCACCGCGCCUACCACCUGCAGGAGGAGUUCGGCUCCACCUUCCCCGCGGACAGCAUGCUGCUAGACCUCGAGAGGACCCUCAUGCUGCCCCUGACCGAGGGCUCGCUGCGGCUGCGGGCGGACGAUGAGGACAGCCUGACCUCAGAGGAUUCCUUCUUCUCCGCCACCGAGCUCUUUGAGUCCCUGCAGACCGGAGAUUACCCGAUCCCACUCUCCAGACCCGCCGCUGCCUACGAGGAGGCCCUGCAGCUGGUGAAGGAGGGGAGAGUGCCCUGCCGGACCCUCAGGACGGAGCUGCUGGGCUGCUACAGUGACCAGGACUUUCUGGCCAAGCUGCACUGUGUGCGGCAGGCCUUCGAGGGGCUUCUGGAAGACAAGAGUAACCAGCUUUUCUUCGGGAAAGUGGGCCGACAGAUGGUGACAGGCCUGAUGACCAAGGCUGAGAAGAGCCCCAAAGGCUUCCUGGAGAGCUACGAGGAGAUGCUGAGCUAUGCCUUACGGCCUGAGACCUGGGCCACAACACGGCUGGAGCUGGAGGGCCGAGGGGUGGUAUGCAUGAGCUUCUUCGACAUCGUGCUGGACUUCAUCCUCAUGGACGCCUUCGAGGACCUGGAGAACCCCCCGGCCUCGGUGCUCGCCGUCCUGCGGAACCGCUGGCUGUCAGACAGCUUCAAGGAGACGGUGGGUCGCUGCCGCGCUCUCAGACCCAUGCUUGCUCACAUCAGCCCAUGUGGUUGCCUGGCUCCGUCCCCUCUGUCCCUAGCACUGGCACCAGGGCUGGGCCCCCACCCCCUAGGUCCGCGGCUGCCAGGCCUGGGAGACCAGAGUCUGCUCUAGAGAAGCCUCCAGGGUGCCCCGUUGCUGCCUGGUGCCCCAGUUUAGAACCAACGUGGUGUGCGUUUUCUUCCUAUUGUGUGGUUUCACUUCUGUGCUGGUAUGAAUUCGAUUCAAUUUUAAUGCAUCCGUUAAAUCAAGUUAAAAGAGGGGAAAGCAAAACCAAAAGGAAAAACAUGCACAGAGCGAGAGACAGCCCAGCACAGGACCCCCAGCAAGGCAAGCAGUGAUGCUCCAGCAGCCAGGCUGUGCUGCCUGGGUCCAGGCUUCUGCGAGGCGGUUUACAGGCGGGAACCAUUGCUCCCACAACCACCAAAGGAGGUGGGAGUGCUGUGUUGUGCCCCUUUACAGAAGAGGAGACUGAGGCUCAGAGAAGAUCCAGCAGUAAGAUUAGAGUCAAGAUUCAAGUUUAGGUAUGUCUGAGUCCAAAAUCAGAGGAGGAAGCAGCAGAGCUUAGGCACCCGGCCCCAUCUUCCUGCUUGGAGUGGGGCCUUGGCCACUGCUUGCUGGUCAGUCCUGAAAGCCAAGAGGAGGCUGCUGAUGGUGCCUGACGGCUUCAUCUCCCAUUUCUACUCCGUAUCGGAGCAUGUGAGCCCUGUCCUAGCCUUCGGCUUCCUUGGACCCAAGCCUCAGCUUGCUGAAGUCUGUGCUUUCUUCAAGCACCAGAUUGUGCAGUACCUGAGGGACAUGUUCGACCUGGACAAUGUGCGCUACACAGCAGUGCCCGCGCUGGCAGACGACAUCCUGCAGCUGUCCCGGCGCCGCAGCGAGAUCUUGCUGGGGUACCUGGGGGUGCCCGCGGCCAGCAGCGCAGGCGUGAAUGGGGCGCUGCCCCGAGAGAAUGGGCCCCUGGGGGAGCUGCAGUAGAGGCGGCACGGGCUGCGGGGCAGCAGAGAGAAGGCUCCUCCUCCCUUCCCUGGGUUGGUAUCUGACAGCUGUGGUGGCUGAGGGCCGUUGCCCCUGACUUUGCCCCACCCCCAUCAUCUGGGAGUCCCCAAGGCCCAGAGGGGACAUUUCCAUGGAGAAGAAUGGAAUGGUUCCUGGGGGAGGCCAGGACCAGUGGGGCCUGUGGGAGAGAAAGGCAGUGAGAGAGGAGGGUGUUGUGGAGAAUUGGGACAGGCAGAGCCGGGAUGCCCCAGGUGGAGGACCCCAAAACCUCCCAUCACCCCAGGGCUGCUGACAAGGGUGCUGGGAGGGUGGAGGUGAAGGAUGGGGCCUAGAGCCCUGUGGUGAAGGUCACAGUGUCCUGAGCUAGAAGCCACCUGUGGCUGUAUGGUCUCAGCAUCCAGGCAUCCAGCUGGCCUGUCCUGAUGCCCUCCCCACCUCGGCCGCCUUCUCAGAGAGUUUGCAACUCCAGAGGAGGAGAGUGGGGCCACCUUAGUGGGCAGCAGGCCCGGGCCAUCCAGAGGUGGGGCAGAGGUGGGCCUCCCACUCCUGUGCUCUCUUCUGGGCAGGGACUGGGCCCUUGACAAACCCAAGCACCAAACCAGGACACUGUCCUUUGACAUUCCCUCGCCCUGCCAAAGAUCGUCUUUUCUCCUCCCACCUCUGUCACCACCAAAGACGGGCGGAGGUGGGGCUGGGCCCUCCUGCCCCCGCCCAUCCCCCUUCCAUGAGCCCAGACCUCCCUGGGUGGUGCUAGGCUCUGAGCUGGGGGCUCGGACCAGGGAUCGCUCAGGCCCCUGUCACCCGUGGGCCCGGGGACCACUUGGGGGAGGUCAGAGGAUGUAUGUGGCCGGCCCAGCUUCCCCACCUUCAUUAGGACAAGAAACUGCCCAGCACUUUGCCUUCAGUUCAACACACGAACGCUCCUGGGGCCUCAUGGGGGCAGAGCCUCCCCUGGGCCUGCAGACAGAGUCCUGUUAGCAGCGAUGUCCCCCUGCCACGGGGUCCUGUCAUCCCGGCGUGUCUUCUCAGUGUCUUCACCUGAGCAGGUGUCUAUAGCCUCAAUGCAUUCUGCUGGGGCUCUGCCUUUUCCAGGUUGAGAGGCCUGCGGGAGAAACAGACUCCCCUCUUGGGUUUCCACACUCAGGAGUCAGAGGACUGGCUCCUGUGACCAGGGCCCGUCUCCCCUGAAUGGGAAAGGGGUCUGGGGAUGGGAGGGCGCACCACAGAGAGGAGAUGAUGCUGGGUGUGGCCCAUCUUCUGUGGGCCCCUUCCCAGACACCAGAUCCAUGGGCACUAACCCACCUCCCAGGCUGAUGCCCGGAGGCAGCCUCCACGGCAGGAAGGACCCUGUGCUCCCCGCCCCCCCAUCCUGACAUCCUGUUCUUUUGCACUUACCCUGUGCUGUGAAUGUAACAGUGGGCUUUGGCCCCGCCCACUCUGAUUUGCAUUUUCAUUUGUCUUUGUUUACACAUCUGUGCACUGCCUGUAGCAGUCGAUUGUCACAGCUUCGACUUUUGGAUGGUAGAGUGUGUGCACUGACUGUGAGUCGAAUAAACAAUUGAGACGAUUUCCUUCCA